UACGUAGGGACCGAGCGUUGUCCGGAAUCAUUGGGCGUAAAGAGCGUGUAGGCGGCCACUUAAGUCCUGCGUGAAAUCUUGCGGCUCAACCGCAAGCGGUCGUGGGAAACUGGGUGGCUAGAGUGCGGGAGAGGAGAGUGGAAUUCCUGGUGUAGCGGUGGAAUGCGCAGAUAUCAGGAGGAAUACCGAUGGCGAAGGCAGGUCUCUGGGCUGACACUGACGCUCAUGCACGAAAGCGUGGGGAGCAAACAGG
rnacentral:rRNA from 1 species